GCAGUAGGGAAUCUUCCGCAAUGGACGAAAGUCUGACGGAGCAACGCCGCGUGAGUGAAGAAGGUUUUCGGAUCGUAAAACUCUGUUGUUAAAGAAGAACAAGGAUGAGAGUAACUGCUCAUCCCCUGACGGUAUUUAACCAGAAAGCCA
rnacentral:rRNA from 1 species